rnacentral:lncRNA from 1 species
CUGGUGCCAAAAAGGUUAGGGACUUCUGCUAUACACUCUGAAGUUAUCCUUCAAGAGCGAAAGAGAAAGACUUCCACAGACAAAAAUUGAAGGAUUUUUGUGGCCAGUAUAUCUGCUUUGCAAGAAAUGUUAAAAGCCUUCAGAGAGAAGGGAAAUGACACAGGUCAGAAACUCACAUCUAGACAAAGAAAGCAAGAGCAUCGGAAAAGGAAUAAGUGAAGGCCCAUCAAUCAAUUAACUGUAACUGACAUCUGUAGACUACUCAUCCAAAAAUGGCAUCACACAUUCAUCUCAAGCUCACCUGGAACAUUCACCAAAGCUGGAGUAGGAGGGAGCAUAACCUGGCGUGAACUGAAAGUCUAUAAUACACAUAUAUACAGAAAGAAGAGACCCCACAGAUGGAAAUUUAGGUAUAAAUGGAAAUACAAACUAUUCCUUGGCUCUACCAAUCUACCAUUAGAACUAUCCAGAAAGUUUGGAUUUUAGAAUAAAGACAUGGUUCUCAUUCUCUACCUAUGAGACUGAGUGAUAUCUACUUCUAAGGUCAUCUUAAUUGUAAGGAGAAGGAUAAAACACACUUAUAUCUGCUUGUGAUAUGCAUCAACUCUGGAAGGGAUACACCAGAAACUGACAACAGUAGUUCCUGUAUGUGUGUGGAGAGGGGUAGAAGUAUUGAAGGGAAAUAAAGGCCUCAUCUGCUAGAAGAGAAUCCUUAAGUCCCAAAGAUGCACUAUAGAUG